ensembl:lncRNA
UUUUUCUUUGCGUUUAUUCAUCUCUAAUGUUGUUUUUUAAAUCUGUCCACAAACUCAUAUUAUUAGUUACUACUAUGUUAGGUACAUUUUUCCCUCACUGCAAUGGCAGUAAUCUACACAAGAGCCCAAACCCAGCACUUCCAUCCACCUCUCCAACAGACAGUGGUGUUGGACCAAAUGGCACCCUAUAGUGCACUGCUUUGGACCAGAGCCCUAUGGCCCUGGUCCAAAGCAGGGCAUUUAAUAGGGAAUAUGGUGCCAUUUGGGACACAACCUAUCACUAUAGGAUGCCCUCACACACCACUAUAGUUUUUUUUUCUUUGAAAAAAACAACUAAGAAAUUAAGGGUCAACAAUUAUACACUAACUGGACAGUUUAUUAGGUACAAAAUGGAUUGCUCCUAUAGACAGUGAAUCAUGUGGCAAUGGCUUGCUAUAUAAAUCAGGCACACAGGCACCAAGGCAUUCAGUUACUGUUCGACUGAACGUUAGAAUGGGCAAAACGAGUGACCUAAGCAACUUUGGGCGUGGUAUGAUCAACAUGCCAGAAGCAAUAUAUUAGAAACGGCUGCCGUCCUGGGCUUUUCAGGCAUGACAGUGUCUAGGGUUUACUGAGAAUGGUGCUACAAAUAAAAAAACAUCCAGUCAGCGGUAGUUCUGUGGGCAAAAACAGCUCGUUGAUGAAAGGUCGAAGGAAAAUGGCAAGAAUCAUGCAAACUAACAGGUGUGCCGAAAAACAGACAAAUAACGGCGCACUACAACAGUGGUGUACAGAACGGCAUCUCGGAACGCACAACUCGUUGAUUCUUGUCACGGAUGGGCUGUUGCAGCAGACGACCACCAAGUGUUCCACUCCUAUCAGCUAAAAACAAGAAGAAGCGGCUCCAGUGAUCACGCAAUCACCAACUCUGGACAACUGAGGAGUGGAAAAACAUUGCCUGGAACAUGACAGUGAGUUGUACUUGAGUGGCCUGCGCAGUCCCCAGACAUCAACCAAAUAGAACAUAUUUGGGAUGAGAAGGAACAGGCUGUACCGCCGUCCAAUCUGCAGCAGCUGCGUGAUGCCAUCGUGUCAGCAUGGACCAAUCUCCUUUUGAACAUUUCUGACACCUUGUAGAAUGACCCAAGAAUUUAGUCAGUUCUGGAGGAAAAGGGGGGUCCGAACUGGUGCUAGAUAGGUGUACCUAAUAAACUGUCUGGUGAGUGUAGCUAGGAACCAAUUAAAAUAUUUCAAGCAUGUUUCAGGGAGAUUUUCAGUGCAAAAAGCAAUUGAGGAAAUAUUUAAGAUUGCCUGUUGCCUGUCUGGGACAUUCAUAUUAUCACAUAUUAUCACAUUAUAUAUAGUGCUCCAAAUUGGUGCAGUGGUCUAAGACACUGCAUCUCAGUGCUAGAGGCGUCACUAAAGACCUUGGUUUGAUUCCAGGCUGUAUUACAACUGGCCGUGAUUGGGAGUACCAUAGGGCGACGCACAAUUGGCCCAGCGUCGCUGGGGUAGGCCGACAUUGUAAAUAAGAAUUUGUUCUUAACUGACUUGCCUGGUUAAAGCAUUUAAAUAAAAAUAUGACAUAUUCUGUGGGUAAUUUAAGAGUACGAUGUGGAUUAGAUUCAUUGGAUCGAACAUGUUUGUCAGUUUGAGGGCAAGUCAGUUACCUUUAUGUCACUUCUCCUAUCGUUGGCAGGGCACUUGUCCUAUCUGCCAAUGUGAGGGAGGAGUGGGCGGGACUAGCACGUGGGUUUAUGCUCUCUUUUUAAAAACACAACAUCUCUAGUGCUAUAAUGUUCUGUACAACAUUAAACAACACAUUUUUUUCUUUUUUUCUUUCUUUCUUCUCCAUAAUAAUGCCAAAGCAAUAAUAAUAAUAAUUAUAAGAAGAAGACUCCAUCUCAUCAUGUUACUCCAUCUCAUCAGGCAUCAAAUGUCAAACAAAUGUACGAACAUCACACAAACUGACAAUACAAAUCUAAGAAUAAAAGGCCUCAAUACCAGAUAGUACACAUCAUCACCUUCUAAUGGUGCCACAGAGAGAGAGUGACAGGUUACAGAAGAGAGGAAGAAGAGAGAGAGAGGGUACGGAAGGGAGGUAGAGAAGAGAGAGUGACAGGUUACAGAAGAGAGGAAGAAGAGAGAGAGAGGGUACGGAAGGGAGGUAGAGAAGAGAGAGAGAGAUGGGUUACAGAAGAGAGGAAGAAGGGAG